rnacentral:rRNA from 1 species
AUUUCUAGCUUGCUAGAAGAUGACGAGUGGCGGACGGGUGAGUAAUGCUUGGGAACUUGCCUUUGCGAGGGGGAUAACAGUUGGAAACGACUGCUAAUACCGCAUAAUGUCUACGGACCAAACGGAGCUUCGGCUCCGGCGCAGAGAGAGGCCCAAGUGAGAUUAGCUAGUUGGUAAGGUAACGGCUUACCAAGGCGACGAUCUCUAGCUGUUCUGAGAGGAAGAUCAGCCACACUGGGACUGAGACACGGCCCAGACUCCUACGGGAGGCAGCAGUGGGGAAUAUUGCACAAUGGGGGAAACCCUGAUGCAGCCAUGCCGCGUGUGUGAAGAAGGCCUUCGGGUUGUAAAGCACUUUCAGUUGUGAGGAAAAGUUAGUAGUUAAUACCUGCUAGCCGUGACGUUAACAACAGAAGAAGCACCGGCUAACUCCGUGCCAGCAGCCGCGGUAAUACGGAGGGUGCGAGCGUUAAUCGGAAUUACUGGGCGUAAAGCGCACGCAGGCGGUUUGUUAAGCUAGAUGUGAAAGCCCCGGGCUCAACCUGGGAUGGUCAUUUAGAACUGGCAGACUAGAGUCUUGGAGAGGGGAGUGGAAUUCCAGGUGUAGCGGUGAAAUGCGUAGAUAUCUGGAGGAACAUCAGUGGCGAAGGCGACUCCCUGGCCAAAGACUGACGCUCAUGUGCGAAAGUGUGGGUAGCGAACAGGAUUAGAUACCCUGGUAGUCCACACCGUAAACGCUGUCUACUAGCUGUGUGUGCCUUUAAGGCUGUGCGUAGCGAAGCUAACGCGAUAAGUAGACCGCCUGGGGAGUACGGCCGCAAGGUUAAAAC